GCGACCCCAGGUCAGGCGGGACUACCCGCUGA
rnacentral:rRNA from 9 species